AACGCACCUUGCGCUCCCUGGUAUUCCGGGGAGCACGCCUGUUCGAGUGUCGUGAAAUUCUCAAACUGGGAUGCUUUUUUGUUUCUCGGCUUGGUGUUGGGCUUUGCAGUUCCUUUGAUUGGGAUGGCUGGCCUCAAAAGCAUUAGCUGGCUUUUCAUGUGGCAUUGGUUCUACUCAGCGUGAUAAUAAUCUGACCGCCGAGGACAUCUUUCGAGAUGGCCAAUUCUCAUUUGGGCUGCUUCUAAUUUUGGUAGAGCGGAUUCUGAAUCUGUUCCACUUUUUCAACUUUUGACCUCGAAUCAGGUGGGACUACCCGCUGAACUUAA
rnacentral:misc_RNA from 1 species